GCCUAGGUAACUCAGCCUGGUUAGAGUGCCAGACUCAUAAUCUGGAAGUCGCGGGUUCAAAUGGCCCUUUUCCGCCUGGGGCG
rnacentral:tRNA from 1 species